UGGAAAAGUCAGUCAAAGAGGGUAAAAACCCCGUAGAUGAAAUUUGGAAGGCACCUAGGAGGAUCCUGAGUACGGCGGAACACGAGGAAUUCCGUCGGAAUCCGGGAGGACCAUCUCCCAAGGCUAAAUACUCCCUAGUGACCGAUAGUGAACCAGUACCGUGAGGGAAAGGUGAAAAGCACCCCGGAAGGGGAGUGAAAUAGAACCUGAAACCGUGUGCCUACAACAAGUCAAAGCCCGUUAAUGGGUGAUGGCGUGCCUUUUGUAGAAUGAACCGGCGAGUUACGAUUGCAUGCGAGGUUAAGUUGAAGAGACGGAGCCGCAGCGAAAGCGAGUCUGAAUAGGGCGUUUGAGUAUGUAGUCGUAGACCCGAAACCAUGUGAUCUACCCAUGUCCAGGUUGAAGGUGCGGUAAAACGCACUGGAGGACCGAACCCACGUACGUUGAAAAGUGCGGGGAUGAGGUGUGGGUAGCGGAGAAAUUCCAAACGAACUUGGAGAUAGCUGGUUCUCUCCGAAAUAGCUUUAGGGCUAGCCUCGGAAUUGAGAAUGAUGGAGGUAGAGCACUGUUUGGACUAGGGGCCCAUCUCGGGUUACCGAAUUCAGAUAAACUCCGAAUGCCAUUCAUUCAUAUCCGGGAGUCAGACUGUGAGUGAUAAGAUCCAUAGUCGAAAGGGAAACAGCCCAGACCACCAGCUAAGGUCCCAAAAUAUAUGUUAAGUGGAAAAGGAUGUGGGGUUGCACAGACAACUAGGAUGUUGGCUUAGAAGCAGCCACCAUUUAAAGAGUGCGUAAUAGCUCACUAGUCGAGUGACCCUGCGCCGAAAAUGUACCGGGGCUAAACAUAUUACCGAAGCUGUGGAGUACACCUUUAGGUGUAUUGGUAGGAGAGCGUU
rnacentral:rRNA from 1 species